CACGUAGGGGCCAAGCGUUGUCCGGAUUUAUUGGGCGUAAAGAGCUCGUAGGCGGUUCGACAAGUCGGGUGUGAAAACUCCGGGCUCAACCCGGAGACGCCACCCGAUACUGUCGUGACUGGAGUCCGGUAGGGGAGUGGGGAAGUUCCUGGUGUAGCGGUGAAAUGCGCAGAUAUCAGGAGGAACACCGGUGGCGAAGGCGCCACUCGUGGGCCGGUACUGACGCUGAGGAGCGAAAGCGUGGGUAGCAAACAGG
rnacentral:rRNA from 1 species